UCCCUGGAGGACUAGAGGUUAGGCCAUGGUGCUCUCACUGCCAUGGCAUGGGUUCGAAUUCCGGGCAGGGAA